GGGUGCGGCGGGUCGGUCCGCCGCAGGAAUCCGGUUGGUCGGGCCGCCAGCC
rnacentral:ncRNA from 12 species